rnacentral:lncRNA from 1 species
AGACAAUUUUAGUUUGAAAUGUGAAAGAGAAAAAUUGAGAUAACAGAAUUUUAGAAUAUGGCUAGUAGAUAUCAUUUAAUUGAUAAAUUGAGAUGGAAAGCAAUUGAGAGGGCAGAGGAAAGCCAAUCUGCUUCUAGCUUCUCAAUUGUUCUCCAAUCUGAUGAAGUACCAGAGAGUUAACAUACUUACCAAUUGACAGAAAUGGAUAUCCAACAUAGUGGACUGGAGGUUUUUCAAAAUUUUUCAGAAAUUUGUGGGUUGUUAUAUUCAUUUAAAACUUUUUAAAUAAAGAAAGACAAUAUUUCCUAUUCUGCGGAAAAAAGAAUGAAGUUUUUUGAAGUAAAUGUAAAAUUUUAAGAAAUUUUGAAAUAUUUUGCAAUUUUUUGUAGUAGACUCAUUUUAUUUUAAUUUUUAUUGAUGAAAAUGUCUGUAGAAUAUUCCUGUAACAUUUUCACAACUCUGUCUUCUAGAAAAACAUGAAUCUCAUAUGAACAAUAAGAUUUGAAAUAUGAAAAUGAUGCCAGUUUGCAUUACUUGUAGAAAAAAUAAUAAAUGUAACUUGAAAAUUUGUUUUCACAUGGAAGCCCUCAUGUCAGGAACAAAUCUCAUUUUAUGCAUCAAAGAGCCAAGUAUAUGAGAGAUAUAGGCAACUACUUGGUCUCGAGUGAAAAGAAAAAAACCAUGCCUGUGUUAUGCAGGGACAUGGCUGAUAGUGUGUUAAAUGUCAGUCAGACUAUAGUUCAUAAGCUGUUAAGCCAGAUUCAAAAUUCUCAAACAAAAUCGCAAAGGCACAACAGUGGAAACCAAGGAUUACUAAUGCAGUGGAUGAUUGCUAUCUUUGAUUAUUGACUUGAAGGAAGAAGAGCAUUAUUCCAACACACCUGUGAUCUGCCCUGGCUGCAAUUACAGGAAAACUACUAUCUGAUUCCAGUGUACAUAGAAAGCUUCAGCAGUCUGCAUGUCCUUUACCUUUUUUUCAAGACAUUUUAGAUGGAACAAAAAAAGAAUAUUUUAAAUAGGAGAGACAGCAUAUCAAUUGGAUUGAAAUCAAUGGAAGUCUGUACUCUUUAUAGAUGAAUUUAGAUUUAUUCUGCAAUGUGACUCCAGGCAUAUUUUGAUCUAGAGAGAAUCAGAGAUAUGCACUUUCCCUCUAAUUUUGAGAAAGAGAAACUUAUGGUAGAAAUUGCUUGAUGGCUUUGGGAGUGUAUUUUGUUAGGCAGCUAUAUAGACUUGUAUAUUCUUUUCAGAGAAAACCUGAAGACCAUCUAAGACUUCAUUCCUAGGCCAAUAUUAUUUGCCAAUAUGCAAGUGCAAUUAGAGUUUCUUUUAUUCUACAGAAUAAUAAUGCUCCAUCAUAUCAAGCCAGACUGGUGCAGCAAUACCUUCAAAAUUAAACUAUCAAAUCUGACUUAUCCUGUUGAUCACAUCUAGUGUGCACUAGGGCAGUACUCUCAAAUUGGUCACCUGCAAAGCAAUUUUGUAUGGCCCAUGAAGAUGUUUUAGCUAUUUGUUUAAAUUUAUGUUACAGUCAGA